GCAAAAGUGAGCGGGAGCCUUCCGGGCGCCGCUACGGGCGGAGCGGGUGAGGGCGCUGGGCUUGGAGAGGCAGGAGAUUAACCCGGAGAGGACCUCGUGGCGCAACGGUAGCGCGUCUGACUCCAGAUCAGAAGGCUGCGUGUUCGAAUCACGUCGGGGUCAAGUGAAGUUCUUUUGGUUCUUCAACCUCCUGCCCUGCAUAACGCCCGCUGCCUCCCAGUCCUUCGCUCUGGUCUGCUCACUGUCCAUUAGCGGUGCUGUGGGCGGGGACACAGCUACAAAACGGGGAGCGUCCCAGAGCAGGAGACCUGCUUUCAGCAUUUCUGUGACAAGAAACUUGGGAGAAGGAUUUUUUGUUUUUCAAUAAAACGAAACCUCAAAACCCCCA